rnacentral:misc_RNA from 1 species
CACACUACAAGAAGCCCAACGUAGUGCAAGAAUGUGACCUGAGCUGCAUUCCACACUAAUCAUUAAAUCUGUCACGCUACACUGACUGGUUGCCUAGACACGGUGGGCUGGCAACUGACGGGACAAUGCGCUAAUUUAUAUUCAAUUGGCUGUCCUUUCUUCCAACUAGAGCUGAGAGAACAUGGAGAAUAGACAGAGAGAGAGGCUGGGGUGUAUAGAGCGUGAACGUGUGCAAGGAGUAACCUGUUGAUCGUGACACAGGGUGGUGGUGUGAGACGAGAGGAGGUGAAGGGGAAGUAGUGUGUGUGUAUGUGUGUGUGUGUCAAGGUGUCAUUGUACAACAGCAGACAGUAAGGCAACAUGACUGUCACCUACACUCAUGAGGUGGCAGACUGCAAGGGUUUUGGUAACUUCUGGCGGCUUCUUUUCAGAUGGCGAGGCAGUGUGUACAAGCUGGUGUGGCUGGAUCUGCUCUGCUACACCACCAUCUACACUGUCCUGUCGGUGGUGUACAGGGUGGUGCUUGCCGAGGACCAGAAGAGGUUGUUUGAAAAAGUGUCCCUCUACUGCAACUACUUCAGUGACUACAUUCCUGUGUCCUUUGUGCUGGGUUUCUAUGUGUCCAUUGUCAUCAAACGUUGGUGGGACCAGUACCAGACCCUUCUGUGGCCUGACUCCCUGGCGCUGUUUGUCUCCACCUGCAUGCAUGGCCAUGACCGCCAGGGAAGGCUGAUGAGGCGCACCAUUCUCCGUUACGUCAACCUUUCCUUCGUCCUCACACUCACCAUGAUCACCCCAAGAGCUAAGAAGAGAUUCCCCACCUUGGACCAUAUUGUAGAAGCAGGCUUCAUGACAACAAAUGAGAAGAAGAUUUUCUCUGCCAUGGUAGAAAAGACAGACCACCCCCUCUAUUAUGUCCCCCUGGUGUGGGCUGGAACCCUAGUGUCUCGGGCCAGGAAGGAGGGCCGAAUUAGGGACGACUUUGCAGUGAAGACGAUCAUGGACGAGCUAAACAAUCUGCGUAUCAAGAUUAACGGCUUGAUUAGCUACGACUGGAUCAGCAUCCCUCUGGUGUACACUCAGGUGGUGAGUCUGGCUGUGUACACCUUCUUUGUGUCUACCAUCAUGGGACGGCAGUUUCUCGACCCCAAGCAGAACUACCCAAAGAAUAACAUCGACUUCUACUUCCCAAUCUUCACCAUGCUGCAGUUCUUCUUCUAUAUGGGCUGGCUCAAAGUGGCAGAGUCCCUCGUGAACCCAUUCGGUGAAGACGAUGAUGACUUUGAGGUGAACUGGCUCAUCGAUCGGAACAUUCAGGUUUCAUAUCUCAUAGUGGACGAGAUGCACAACGAACACCCGGAGCUGAUGCAGGACCUGUACUGGGACGAGGUGUUCCCGCAGGAAUUGCCUUACACUGUGGCAGCCGAGCAGUACAAGCGUGACCCCCCAAUGGGCAGCACCGCCAACCUGCGAGUGCCCGAAGCUGAGCAGGAAUUUGUACCCACGUUGGAGGAGGUGCUGGAAGAGAAGAUGGAGGAGAGCGAGGAGGCAGAGAAGACAGAUGGAACACCAGGAGUGAGGCGUUUGGACUCGGCACGUUCUAUUGGUUCAUCCAUGUCUGGGCGGAAGAGUUCGCUCAUGUCCAUCCUGCACAAUAAGUGGCGACGUGGCGACCUGCGCAGCUCCAUGGGCAGUCAGAUAUCCGUAAGAAAAAGCCGCAUGCGUUCAGUGAGCCAGUCGGGUUCACAAGUCUCGGAUGCCUCCUUUGGUUCCUCCGUCAUCAAGAGAAACAACACAAACACGUCAUUUCAGGACAGUGACAUGCAUCUAUCACAUGAAUCCAUGAUCGAUGGGAACGGAGAAGGAAUACCAGUCUUUCUCUCCUCUUCCCCUAAACCAAACCGUAAGAAGAUCAUCCCAUCCCUCGCCACCAUCAAGUCCUCCUCUUCCACUUCAAGCCACCACUCCAAUCGUGUCCACCCCCAGGGAGACGCUGAUCCAGUAGUCAUCAAGGUGGCAGAUCUUCAAGUGGACAGUGUGGUGGACAAAAAUAUAGACAAAGGAGCAAUGAGUCAUUCAAGAGUUGGUUCCCCACACAGCGUUGCAGACUCCACAGCUUCUGCCAUGGCGUCAAUCUUCACCAUACAGGGUUCUGAGAUACACGAGGGAGACAAUAGAGAGGAAGUGAUGGAGAGGAGUCAGUCAGCAGGCAGCCACAAGGAGCCACACUUAAGUAAGAGUGAUGCAGAAAAACCAACAAGUGCCGAGGGAACUCAGGGGGAUGCUGCUGUGGAGGAUGCCAAAGAGGUGAUGCCUGGAGAAGAUGCACCAGAGGAUGAGAAUGUCCACUAGGGAACAUCACAUAGUCAACAGUGGGAAGCGUGACCCAAGCUGACCAAGACUACCUACCGGCUAGUGAUAUGCAGGUCAUCUCACUCGGCUAACUCUUCUGAACACGAGACCCAAGACUGAAGUUUAUUCCCAUCUGUUGCCUUUCAUGAGGGACAAUGCAUGUGGUAAAUAUGCACAGUUAAGAGCAAGUGACUGGUUGGGCCUCCUUGACAAACCCCAACAGAUAACUCAACUACUGCUGACUUUGUGACAGUGUUGUGCACAUUGCAUCCAUUGCUUUGAUCACUACCUUUCCACAUGCCAGUCAUCCAAGGCUCUCAAUCAGCCUAUCUCCAAGGAUCUGAUUGCAUGCCUUAAUCAACAAAUAGUACAUGAGGUUUUGUCUUCUAAUAUAGAGCAUAAUUGCUUAAUAAUAUGGCUGUUUCCUAGACAUAAUCUGUUCAUCUUAGCAUAUGUGUAUUUUCUCCUAUAGUCUAGGUCUGUUCAUUAUCAUGGUAGCAUUAAGUGAAGCUAAGGUGUCCAUUACCCUAAAAUGUCAAUAGUUCCUGCACAUCACAGUUACCUGACUCAAACAAAAGCACUAGUUUAUUGUAGCACCAGUGCAGGGCAGCACUUCCCAUUAAACAGUGCAAUAAAGAUAGCCAAGCUAAAUACUCACCAAAAUAUGUAAGGCUAGACACAUUCCCAUGCAACUUAACAUAGAUUGUUAUUGAGAUAAUUGUUAUCUGGCCAGACUUAUCAAUUAGGAAAGGGGCCAUCUUAAAUAAGUAUGUUUGCUGAGACAAUACUUUACACAGCCACAUUAUCCAGGAAACAUUCCUUUAGCUAGAGAGAUCCCAGACAGGUAAACAGGUGACUUAAAUUCUUCCUAGGAUUGCUGUCAAAUGUUGUGGUGCAAUGUUAUGACAAACCCACUAAAGAGAAGUGGUUAUUGUGUGUAUCCAUCAUGUGGUACACACACUGUGCUGUUAUUGUGUACACUUUGUAUCACUUGUUUGUCUGAACCUGUGAUCUUUAUAUGGAACAGUUCUUGGUACAAAGAGGAACAUGUGUGAAGUGCAGUGCUGCCUUGGUUUGAGAGUUGAAUUGUUCCAGAGAGCCACUCAUUAAUUAACAAAGUUUGACUGAUGAUUCCCUCCAUUGAGAGCAGUGCUGAGAGUGAUAGUCCCUAAAAAACUACUUAAGUCUAUGUCAGAGCAAGCAGUUGCUGGCCAGUGCUUGUAACCCCAAUUAAUACAAUCAGGGACACUCACAUCCCAAGGUAUCACUGCAUCAGGGUUGUUCCUCUCCAAAAAUCUUAGGUUCUCAUUGACUGUGAUAUUUCUUUUAGUGUGCUAACUGUACCAAUAACUAUUCCAGCUCACCUUUCCCCAAAUGUACCAAAAUACUAAUACACCCUUAUCAUAUCACACAAGUAAUAUAAAACCUGCUAUUUAUAUCCACUAUGUUCUUUUAGAGGAUGUAUUAGGAUUUGAAAGGGACUGUUAGAAAUAAAAGGCUGGGCAUGCAUUGAA